GAGUUUGAUCAUGGCUCAGAACGUACGCUGGCGGCACGCCUAACACAUGCAAGUCGAACGAAGUAGCAAUACUUAGUGGCAGACGGGUGAGUAACAUGUGGGUAUCUACCCUUUGGCCUGGAAUAACACGAGGAAACUUGUGCUAAUACCGGAUAAGUCUUUACGGAGAAAGCUUUAUGCACCAUUGGAUGAGCCCGCACUUGAUUAGUUUGUUGGUAGGGUAAUGGCCUACCAAGACUAUGAUCAAUAGCUGAUUUGAGAGGAUGAUCAGCCACAUUGGGACUGAGACACGGCCCAAACUCCUACGGGAGGCAGCAGUGGGGAAUCUUGCACAAUGGAGGAAACUCUGAUGCAGCGAUGCCGCGUGAGUGAAGAAGGCCUUUGGGUUGUAAAGCUCUUUCGUCGGGGAAGAAAAUGACUGUACCCGAAUAAGAAGGUCCGGCUAACUAUGUGCCAGCAGCCGCGGUAAUACGAAGGGACCUAGCGUAGUUCGGAAUUACUGGGCUUAAAGAGUUCGUAGGUGGUUGAAAAAGUUGGUGGUGAAAUCCCAGAGCUUAACUCUGGAACUGCCAUCAAAACUUUUCAGCUAGAGUAUGAUAGAGGAAAGCAGAAUUUCUAGUGUAGAGGUGAAAUUCGUAGAUAUUAGAAAGAAUACCAAUUGCGAAGGCAGCUUUCUGGAUCAUUACUGACACUGAGGAACGAAAGCAUGGGUAGCGAAGAGGAUUAGAUACCCUCGUAGUCCAUGCCGUAAACGAUGUGUGUUAGACGUUGGAAAUUUAUUUUCAGUGUCGCAGGGAAACCGAUAAACACACCGCCUGGGGAGUACGACCGCAAGGUUAAAACUCAAAUGAAUUGACGGGGACCCGCACAAGUAGUGGAGCAUGUGGUUUAAUUCGAAGCAACGCGCAGAACCUUACCAACCCUUGACAUCCUGUGCUACUACCAGAGAUGGUACGUUCCCUUCGGGGACGCAGUGACAGGUGCUGCAUGGCUGUCGUCAGCUCGUGUCGUGAGAUGUUCGGUUAAGUCCGGCAACGAGCGCAACCCACAUCUUUAGUUGCCAGCAGGUUAAGCUGGGCACUCUAGAGAAACUGCCCGUGAUAAGCGGGAGGAAGGUGUGGAUGACGUCAAGUCCUCAUGGCCCUUACGGGUUGGGCUACACACGUGCUACAAUGGCAGUGACAAUGGGUUAAUCCCCAAAAGCUGUCUCAGUUCGGAUUGGGGUCUGCAACUCGACCCCAUGAAGUCGGAAUCGCUAGUAAUCGCGUAACAGCAUGACGCGGUGAAUACGUUCCCGGGCUUUGUACACACCGCCCGUCACACCAUGGGAGUUGGUUCUACCCGACGACGCUGCGCUAACCCUUCGGGGAGGCAGGCGGCCACGGUAGGAUCAGCGACUGGGGUGAAGUCGUAACAAGGUAACC
rnacentral:rRNA from 1 species